GUCUGUAGCUCAGUGGUAGAGCAUCACCUUUACAUACAGAAGACCCAGGUUCAACCCCUGACAUCUACA